UACGGAGGAUGCAAGCGUUAUCCGGAAUCAUUGGGUUUAAAGGGUCCGUAGGUGGAUUGGUAAGUCAGAGGUGAAAGCCUGCAGCUCAACUGUAGAACUGCCUUUGAUACUGCUAGUCUUGAAUUAUUGUGAAGUGGUUAGAAUAUGUAGUGUAGCGGUGAAAUGCAUAGAUAUUACAUAGAAUACCAAUUGCGAAGGCAGAUCACUAACAAUAUAUUGACACUGAUGGACGAAAGCGUGGGGAGCGAACGGG
rnacentral:rRNA from 1 species